GGGUUUAGACUUCAGCAUGAGUCGGGGGAGGACAUUCAGCCCGCAAGGCCCUGGAGAGUCAGGGUCUGCCAAGGACCCCUGCUGGGUGCUGCCCUGACUGCAGGGCAGGGGUCCUGUCAGCCGGGAGCCCAGACCCCCGAGUGGGGACACCAGCCAGCUUUGCACAUGUCGCAGGAAUUUCAAGCUCAAUCCAGCCACUGCUUCUAGGAGACACUGAAGCUCCUGGAUUGAAGACCUGCUGUCCGGCCACCCUCGGAGACCCGUGGCAGACGUGGAGCCAGCAGGAAAGAGCAGCCCCCUGCCCUGGCACAGGCUCCGGCCUCUCCAUCUCCCGACUCCUGAAUCUCACCCCCACCGAAUUUCUCGAGGAUGAAGCCUGCAUCCAGGGUUUAGCUCAAUGUCAGUGUCGCCUUCUUGGAAGCUGCUCUGCCUACUCACUCCACGAAUGACCUUCAGCCCAGGAGGCAGCACCUCGGGGAGCUCUGAAGCACCGCCCCAGAGAGGCGGGGGGACAUCACGACGGCUGCUGCCAGUCACAGACAGCGGGCAUCGCCGACAGAUUUCAGUGCUUUUCGAGAUAGGACGAGAUGCAAAAUUGGGCUCAAAAACCCUUCUCCUAAAAACAUCUAACUCUCUGAAGACCCAGCUGUUCUUCCAGCGCUUCCCAGAGCACAGAGGGGCCCUCCUGGUCUCCACCCUGAGCCCCAGUCAGCGGGGCCGCGGGCGGGUCGGCAGCUGCGGUGGCACGUGAUUUAAUCCAUGCAGGGCUGAUGGCAGGUGCCGCGGUCGCAGUCUUUCCUAAUCUUCAUGUGUCCCCUCUUCUUCUGAUUUUGCACAGAACGUGAUUACAUAUAGUUGGAUAUUUCCGUGACUAAUUCAACGUGUGUGUCACAUGUUAUAGCAAGACCUGAGCGCCUUUCGCCGUGACGGGCCCGGGAGCAAAUAUUCUAGGUGUUGGAGGUCACGUUCUGUCUCUUAGCUUGUGGGCUGUUUAAAACGCGCAGGAUUAUGAUUAAGAUAACAAGUACCCCAUCGAUGGGCCAAUGAGCUAUUUCCAGUCUCAGCGAUUAUAAGCUGUACAGCUGACAUUUAACUAAUAAAUUUUGUCUCUUACAUUUACUUCAAGUUUUUUCCUGUUUCAUU